AUUGAACGCUGGCGGCAUGCUUUACACAUGCAAGUCGAACGGUAACAGGCCUUCGGGUGCUGACGAGUGGCGAACGGGUGAGUAAUGCAUCGGAACGUGCCCAGAGGUGGGGGAUAACGCAGCGAAAGCUGUGCUAAUACCGCAUGUGAUCUGAGGAUGAAGGCGGGGGACCAGGCAGCAAUGUUUGGCCUCGCGCCUUUGGAGCGGCCGAUGUCAGAUUAGGUAGUUGGUGGGGUAAAGGCCUACCAAGCCGACGAUCUGUAGCUGGUCUGAGAGGACGACCAGCCACACUGGGACUGAGACACGGCCCAGACUCCUACGGGAGGCAGCAGUGGGGAAUUUUGGACAAUGGGCGCAAGCCUGAUCCAGCAGUGCCGCGUGCGGGAAGAAGGCCUUCGGGUUGUAAACCGCUUUUGUACGGAACGAAAAGGCUCUGGCUAAUACCUGGGGCUGAUGACGGUACCGUAAGAAUAAGCACCGGCUAACUACGUG
rnacentral:rRNA from 1 species